GCAGCUGUUCAUCUAACAUGAAGUGUUUAUGGCUAUCACUGCUGAAUUUUCCCAUUUGGUAGAGAAAGAGGGAAAGUUACACCUCUGGGUCAAAUCCAAUUAGAGAUCUGAAACAGAGGAGGUGGCACAAGGGUGUUCAGAUGUUUUUAAUCUGUCUCUGAUUUUAUCCCAUUCCAUCAGUGGGAGCAGAACUAUCAGCACCCUCUUGCUUGUUUUCAGGGCAACAACUAACUGACUAUUACUUUCAACGUUCUUAACCAAAAUAAGAAGUCUAUAACCUACCAUUCUUUACCUGUUCUCUUGUAACUGCUUCACUGAGCUGGUGUUAGUAUGGAAUACCAGGCAUGCACACCAGAUUCUAAUUGUAUUUUCUUUUCUCUCCCUUCCCAUAUGCGUUGCUGAAGCUUCUUGAAGGGUAUGAACAACAAAGGAGAAACCUUACACCAAGAAGCCAGCAACUGUUGGACAGCCCUGUACUGCGCAGUUAUGAUGAAUAUGAAACAGCAGAUGAUGUGACUGACGUAGAAUCUGAAGUGACUGACAUAGAGUCUGAAGUGACUGACGUAGAAUCUGAAGUGACUGACAUAGAGUCUGAAGUGACUGACGUAGAAUCUGAAGUGACUGACAUAGAGUCUGAAGUGACUGACGUAGAGUCUGAAGUGAUUGACGUUGAAUUUGCAGCAGCUGAUGUAGAGCCUGAAGUACGGAGAUCACCGGACGAGGAAACUGUGAAUUCAGAGUACGUACGCCUCGUGACCUACCAAAGAGUGGUUUUUGCUUCUUUGAAGCCUUCACUUUACUUAUUUCCCUCUUUCAAUGAGGAUUGCAUCCUGUGCUGCAUGAUGAUGAAAUGGUAAUGUUUGCACUUUGGGAGAAAAAGGCAGCCCAAGGCAGAUGGGAAACUUUGCACACAACCCUAAAGACGAGUUUGGGGGUAUGGCAAGAAAGGGUGAUUAGUCACAGGCUCUUGCUCAUAAUGUGUUGCAUUUACUUUUCAUGUUAGCCUCUAGUAGUGAUCUUGGAUAUGGAAAUAUUUUCAUUAGUGUGGAUGGUUUGGCAUCACAAGACUGGCAGGCAGCAGCCAGGCAAAUUCUGUGCAAGUGUUAAUAAAGCUGGUAUGCUUUGAGCCUUUGGGAUUACUGAAAGGCAACAUAAGAGAGAACUUAAUACAAAAAAAGAAUAUUUUUUCCUUCAGUCUCAAGCUUCUCUGUUACAGAAUGUGCCUUCCUGCUGGAAGAGCUCAGAGCUACAGAACAUUGACCAGAGGGUUCUUCCUGAGGCUGGAGCUUGCCAGAGCCAUCUGCAGUGUUACUCUGUAGUGUCAGACCUCAUUCCAUUCUAGAAUGAACACUUUCCAGAGGACAGCUUGAUGCUUUGGUUGCAAAGCUGUUAUUGAUGACCUGUUGGAGAUAAAUGCUGCCAUAUAUAGACUUCCCAGUGCUAGAGACUGCUGUUACUUCAAAUCCUAGAGCAGGGUGGCUGACUUCAUCUUUCUCCCAGUGAAAACCAAGACACUGUUUCCUUUAGGACAGGGAGAUCUGAACUCUUCAUUACAUGCAGCAAACUGAGAGAGUUAAAGACAUGCAGGGUUCUUCAAAAGAAAUGCAUCGUGGCUACUCAGUGCAGUCAGAUGAUUAUGUGACAUUUUAUAUAUGAGUAACCCUCGAUGACCAGUGGUAUUAAUGGCUGCUCUUUCUGGGUCUGUUCUCUCUAGGGAAUGGCAACCAGCAGUAAGGUGCCCGAUUUGCAUGGAUUAUUAUUCACGGAUUAUACGAAGUGACCGACACGUUGUGUCAACCCAGUGUGGCCAUCUCUUCUGCAGUCGGUGCAUCGCUGUUGCCCUUGAGACUUCCAGGGCUUGCCCAGCCUGCAGAACAGAACUCCCUCCCAGAGACUAUCACCCCAUUUAUUUCUGAGUACUUCUGUUUCUCAGGACAGACUCAGAUGGAUUUUGGGGGAUAGGUGGCAGAAAGACUUUUUUCUUCAUGUACAUAGUUCUUGUUGUAUACGGUUCCAUUUUUCAUGAGUUUAAUUAUAAAUAAACUAUUAAUUCAUUUAAA